rnacentral:misc_RNA from 1 species
UCCCCGUUCUCCCGGGUAGUCCACGCUGUAAACGAUGGGCACUAAGUGUCCGAGGUAUUGACCCCUUGGGUGCCGCAGCUAACGCAUUAAGUGCCCCGCCUGGGGAGUACGGUCGCAAGAUUAAAACUCAAAGGAAUUGACGGGGGCCCGCACAAGCGGUGGAGCAUGUGGUUCAAUUCGACGCAACGCGAAGAACCUUACCUGGGCUAGACAACGGUGGACCGUCCUAGAAAUAGGACUUUCCCUUCGGGGACUGCCGGUUCAGGUGCCGCAUGGCUGUCGUCAGCUCGUGCCGUGAGGUGUUGGGUUAAGUCCCGCAACGAGCGCAACCCUCGUCCUUAGUUGCCACCAUUCAGUUGGGCACUCUAGGGAGACUGCCGGCGUUAAGCCGGAGGAAGGU